rnacentral:rRNA from 1 species
UACGGGGGGGGCAAGCGUUGUUCGGAAUCACUGGGCUUAAAGGGCGCGUAGGCGGGCUCUCAAGUCCGGGGUGAAAUCCCACAGCUCAACUGUGAAACUGCCUCGGAUACUGGGGGCCUCGAGGGUGGUAGGGGUAUGCGGAACUAUCGGUGGAGCGGUGAAAUGCGUUGAUAUCGAUAGGAACUCCGGUGGCGAAGGCGGCAUACUGGACCACAUCUGACGCUGAGGCGCGAAAGCCAGGGGAGCAAACGGG